rnacentral:lncRNA from 1 species
AUGGAGGAAGACACCUAUGCCAUGUGCGCUGUGAUGAGACUUUGCCUGAAAAUGCUGAUGGACACCUUACGUGGAUUCCAUGUGUUUCAUCGGGGGAUGAAGGGUGCCUGUGUCUACCAAGGCUUGUUGUUUGAGGUAGGUCAGCUUGAAGAUGAUGUGUUGGGGAAAGUGUUUGACCAAGAAGGUGCUCCUGAACUUUCAAGCUUGAACUUGAGAGCUAGGCUCCUAGUUUUGUCACCUCAGCCACCAGGGCAUGUAAACUUGGAGCAGGGGAUGUUGCUGCAAGCCUUCAGCCCACCAGGAAACAGCAGCAGCAUACUUCCAUUGCCUUCAGGGAGGUCAGCAAUUCUCCCUGGGCCUUUCACUCAACCACUGUCCUGCUUGGUACAACUGUGCCUGCUUCGAAGUGGGGUUCCUUUGUCCAGUGUCCAAAAAGGCAUGUGGGAUUUUAAGGUUCCUGGAAGCCAUGUGRAUCAUGAGUGUGCAGUCCUUGGCUGAGUAGGUAGUGUUUUGUAAAAUYUUAGUAAUGCUGGGGUAUGUUCUGCAGUUUUGCCCUUAAUUAAUAAGGUAAGGUAUUGAUGGCAAGAAUUUAACACUUUCAGCUGAUUAUGGCAAAACCACUGUGCCUUGACUCUCUUUUUAAACCCAAUGUAAUUUCUUGCAUACUCUUCCUGUUUCCAUGCCUGUAUUCUGUGAAUCAUUUUUUUAAAUUGUAAAAACCUGCCUCUUACGUAUGCUCUGUUUUGCUCUGUAACACUUGUCUGCCUUGGUGAAGUACUCUGGGGUAAAAGGAAAUGGCUGAGCAACCUGCUUUUCUGGAGUGCUUUUGUACCUGCCUCCUAUUCCAGAGCAGGUUUUCUCUGAUUCAUUACCAUAGGCUGCGAAGCAGCAUGCAGCCUCUGUCUGACAGAUUCUGUGAUUUGUUUCCCUUGGAGUUCCAACCUGGACAUUAGGUCUUAAAAGUUUUUCUGCCUGAAAGAGGGAAUGGAGAGGAUAGCUGGAGGAGAAUGUCUUUGGAGGGUGGUGUGGGAGGAAGGUGGACCAAGACUGAACGUGUUUGUUUCCAUUAAUAAUGCACUGUGAAGCAUCACAAUAUUAAAGGAAUUGAAAAGUUUUGUCUUCACUUGAACAACUGUAAUAAAUUGUAAUGUAGGUAGUUCUCUUCUGAGCA